rnacentral:misc_RNA from 1 species
GAUGAAGAACGUAGCGAAAUGCGAUAAGUAAUGUGAAUUGCAGAAUUCAGUGAAUCAUCGAAUCUUUGAACGCACAUUGCGCCCGCCGGUAUUCCGGCGGGCAUGCCUGUCCGAGCGUCAUUUCACCACUCAAGCCCGGCUUGGUGUUGGGGCGCCCGGCCGCCUGGCGGUCGGGGCCCCCAAGUACAUCGGCGGUCCCGCUGGGGCUCCGAGCGCAGUAGCUCGCGGUAAAACGCGCCCUCGCUCGGCGGCCUCUUCGGGCUUCCAGCCGCUAAACCCCCAGUGACGUUUUUCGAGUUGACCUCGGAUCAGGUAGGAAUACCCGCUGAACUUAAGCAUAUCAAUAAGCGGAGGA